AGUCGAGCGAAUGGAUUAAGAGCUUGCUCUUAUGAAGUUAGCGGCGGACGGGUGAGUAACACGUGGGUAACCUGCCCAUAAGACUGGGAUAACUCCGGGAAACCGGGGCUAAUACCGGAUAACAUUUUGAACCGCAUGGUUCGAAAUUGAAAGGCGGCUUCGGCUGUCACUUAUGGAUGGACCCGCGUCGCAUUAGCUAGUUGGUGAGGUAACGGCUCACCAAGCACGAUGCGUACCGACCUGAAGGGUGAUCGGCCACCUGGGACUGAAC
rnacentral:rRNA from 1 species